rnacentral:lncRNA from 1 species
GAAGAAUAGCUUGGUGAUUUUUGGGUUGAACCUGGUUGAUAUGCUUCUCAAGAACCCUACUUCAGGAGAUGAGAUGUAGUUAACAACCAAUCUCCUUGAUGCAGCAAGAACAUAGUUUCUCAUACUUAAAUUGUGCUGGGCAUAGAACGCGUCAUGCUUCAAAAGAAUCAAGAACAACAAAGCUGUAUAAUGUCAGCAACAGUUGAAGUCUGUACAAAAUAUCAAAUAAGAAAGGGGGGGGGCUCAAAAACGACAAACCACUUACGAUGCAGCAAGAACAUAGUUUCUCAUACUUAAAUUGCGCUGGGCAUAAAACGCAUCAUGCUUCAAAAGAAUCAAGAACAACAAAGCUGUAUAAUGUCAGCAACAGUUGAAGUCUGUACAAAAUAUCAAAUAAGAAAGGGGGGGAGCUCAAACAAGACAAGUCACUUACAGACCUGAACAUUCAACCAAAGGCCAGCUGGCUUUAGCCCGGCAACAUCAUCAACAGUAAGGAUAGGGAACAAAUUGGUGUCAAAACUUGGACUGCGAGAAAAGACUCCCUGCGUCA